UUUUUAGUAUAAAUAUGUCCCAUACAACAUUUGGGACAUACUCAUACAGACA
rnacentral:miRNA from 1 species